AUGAACGCUGGCGGCGUGCCUAAUACAUGCAAGUCGAGCGAACAGACGAGGAGCUUGCUCCUCUGACGUUAGCGGCGGACGGGUGAGUAACACGUGGAUAACCUACCUAUAAGACUGGGAUAACUUCGGGAAACCGGAGCUAAUACCGGAUAAUAUAUUGAACCGCAUGGUUCAAUAGUGAAAGACGGUUUUGCUGUCACUUAUAGAUGGAUCCGCGCCGCAUUAGCUAGUUGGUAAGGUAACGGCUUACCAAGGCGACGAUGCGUAGCCGACCUGAGAGGGUGAUCGGCCACACUGGAACUGAGACACGGUCCAGACUCCUACGGGAGGCAGCAGUAGGGAAUCUUCCGCAAUGGGCGAAAGCAUGACGGAGCAACGCCGCGUGAGUGAUGAAGGUCUUCGGAUCGUAAAACUCUGUUAUUAGGGAAGAACAAAUGUGUAAGUAACUAUGCACGUCUUGACGGUACCUAAUCAGAAAGCCACGGCUAACUACGUG
rnacentral:rRNA from 1 species